UACGGGGGGGGCAAGCGUUGUUCGGAAUUACUGGGCGUAAAGGGCUCGUAGGUGGCCAACUAAGUCAGACGUGAAAUCCCUCAGCUUAACUGGGGAACUGCGUCUGAUACUGGAUGGCUUGAGUUUGGGAGAGGGAUGCGGAAUUCCAGGUGUAGCGGUGAAAUGCGCAGAUAUCAGGAGGAACACCGGUGGCGAAGGCGGUUCUCUGGGCAUGUCCUGACGCUGAGGAGCGAAAGUGUGGGGAGCGAACAGG
rnacentral:rRNA from 1 species